rnacentral:rRNA from 1 species
UACGAGGGGUGCAAGCGUUGUUCGGAAUUACUGGGCGUAAAGGGAGCGUAGGCGGAGAUUCAAGCGGAUUGUACAAUCCCGGGGCCCAACCCCGGCUCUGCAGUCCGAACUGGAUCUCUUGGAUAGUUCAGGGGCAGGCGGAAUUCCUGGUGUAGCGGUGGAAUGCGUAGAGAUCAGGAAGAACACCGAUGGCGAAGGCAGCCUGCUGGGGACUUAUCGACGCUGAGGCUCGAAAGUGCGGGUAG